GGUGGGAUGGCGGAGAAAUAUAAUUCUGCAACGGUUUACGCGUGCGCCUGCAAAGCGUAUAUACAUGGGUUCAAAUCCCAUUCCCACCU
rnacentral:tRNA from 1 species